rnacentral:misc_RNA from 1 species
GGCAGAUUUUGGCAACUAAAUCCUCCAAAAUCAGAAACGAAAGAGGUAGGAAUAUUUCUUUGAACACCGGUGGUGGUGGUAGGCACAAAGGGCUUGUAAGAAUUUUGCAAUUCUUGCCAUCCAUUGUAUAUAGGCUGUUCAAGAUUGGGAAAAGAGAAAGGGUCUUCAUCUUCAAAAGUCAAAGAGGCCAGACAAUCCAAAUCGUUCUCACCAACUUUGGCAUUUUGACCGGCGCACGCAUCGGUGUUUGAAGUGGCUGCUGCUGCUGCAGUGUUUGUGGCAGAGCUAGAGCUAGUGUAACUCUUAACUAUGGCGUACAGAUCCCAGUCAGCCAUUGAGCAGCCAAUCUACCUAGAAAUUAUAACCAAUCUAUCUAUUUCUUACAGCUCUUUGAGCAAAUGGGCUAAGGAAAAGAUUGAAUACAGAGGACGGC